GGCCUGUUAGGUCCUACCGGUUAGAGGAACAAUUUGUCUCCUGUUAGCAAAAGAUCUGGGAAAGCUUUCCUCCUGCAAGGAGCAGAAACAUUCACUGGCUUGUUUCAGUCAGUGUGAAAGCCAGGAGCAGAAUGGAGACAACCUGGUUCCCACCUCUGAGACAGAAUAUAUUUCUCUGCAUUUUUAACUGUCCUUACCUUGGCUGCUUUGGAUUCUCUGAAUUUCUGAGUUGAAAAGAAAUCUAUUAACCAAACAGUCUGGAACAGCCAGUCAUAAAGUACUGAAGACCAAAUUCACCAACAUUAUAUUUGAGGAUGGAACUCAGACCAGUUUGGACUCACAAUUGGAUGCGUAAGGCCACAUUCUUGUAUUCAGGAACGCUUCUGUAACAGAAAGGGCUGGAGAUGCUCUUUCUCUCUCUUGUACUGCAUUGAAGAGCCUAUAAAGGUCAGGAAGCAAUAGAAAAUACAGGUGUGCAUCCUGCUGAGUGGACAAGAGCAUGAAGUAAGCCUUUCCCUGCUUCCAGGAUGAGUGUUCGAACUGUAUCCCCAGCAGAAAUUGCUCAUCUAGAUGUCAUAAGAUAAGAUAGAUGGAAUGAUUUUCAGCAUUGCUCAUGUACCUUGGGCAUGGAAGGUGGGCUUCAAGGUAAAAGUAUAUCUGCUCAGUAUCUUCUCAUCUGCAAGGCUGACAUGUGCCACUUGGAGGACAAAAGUGACUUCAGGAAGGACUGACAGCUAAACACUAAUUUUCAAAAAUCAAAGCCUUAAGCCUGCAUGCCAUAUUCUUAUGCUGACAAGUCACUGACAGAGUAUCAAGAAAUGGAGGCCACAAGAAACCUACCAAAUUCCCUGCAGAAGAUACCUGGGACAUAAUCGGAAUGAGGGGCUAUCACCAAAAGGUUGACAUUCCAAAGUGUUGAGCUCUACGGAUUUCCACAUCUGACUAUGGAAGCUGGAGACCUGUGAGAACCAGAUUUACAUUUACUUGUCUAAGAGCAGUCAUUUUCACACCUCUGGUGAAAUAUGGUUUCAGUGAAAUCAAGGACAAGUGUCACUUUUGGCUCAAUGGGACCAGGAUUCUUCAGCAAGAGAAAAAGUCUUUUGGACCCCAGAGACCCUGAAGCUUGAAAUAACAUCUUAGAGUGUCUCAACAAGUGCUGAUGAGAACUGAUUUCU
ensembl:lncRNA